rnacentral:rRNA from 1 species
UACGUAGGGUGCAAGCGUUAAUCGGAAUACUGGGCGUAAAGCGUGCGCAGGCGGUUGUGCAAGACCGAUGUGAAAUCCCCGGGCUUAACCUGGGAAUGGCAUUGGUGACUGCACGGCUAGAGUGUGUCAGAGGGGGGUAGAAUUCCACGUGUGAGCAGUGAAAUGCGUAGAGAUGUGGAGGAAUACCGAUGGCGAAGGCAGCCCCCUGGGAUAACACUGACGCUCAUGCACGAAAGCGUGGGAGCAAACAGG